GUGAUCCUCAAAGCAGAGAGUGUGGUAACUGUCUUUGCAUGUACCUCUCACACCAGUAGACUAGCAAUACAGGUCAGAUGUUGGGAAGAUCCCAGAUUUGAUGUGGAGCCAGAAUCUAAAUCAAUAACAGCUCCCCAAUCCUAGAAGCUGUUAGUCCUAGAGCGAGUUGGGAGCUUCACAAACAACCCUGUGGUACUACUUCGAGGAGCUGUGUUGGUUGUCCAUACCUGCGCUGGACACGGAGCUCUUCCAGGCGAUGCAGCAGAGACAGACAGUGGGCUUCCACAGCGCUGGCAUAGCCCCG